GGACCCAGUUAUAUAGCACUCUGCAUUUUUAUAAUUGUUAUGCUCAAUGUUUCUAUGAUUACAUAGGGCUCUUCUGAAUUUGCAUCACAGGGCAAAUUUUGCUAAAAUGUUCAAAUUCCCCCCUCCUCAAACAGAGAUUAGAGUAGAUACAAUUUUACAACUUGUUGGGGCCAUAUUUGAGACCCCCCUUGGACAGUGUAGUCUGCCACUGGCACUCUCCGAUGCAUAGGUCUUUGUCCCUUAGGGCAUGGAUAUACUUGGGAGCAAAUAAGGCAAUCCUGUUUCCAAUGUAGAGCUGAAUUUGUUAUGUCAGAACAAUAAGAUUUCAGUCUAAGGUGAUCGUCUAAUGCACUCUGUCCAAUGUGACACAUAAAAGCAUGUGUUUGUUGUGUAAUUGGCCUCUGUAAAUGGUGUGGGG